UACGUAGGUGGCAAGCGUUGUCCGGAUUUACUGGGCGUAAAGGAUGCGUAGGCGGAUUUUUAAGUGGGAUGUGAAAUUCCGAGGCUCAACCUCGGCGCUGCAUUCCAAACUGGAAGUCUAGAGUGCGGGAGAGGAAAGUGGAAUUCCUAGUGUAGCGGUGAAAUGCGUAGAGAUUAGGAAGAACACCAGUGGCGAAGGCGACUUUCUGGACCGUAACUGACGCUGAUGCAUGAAAGCGUGGGGAGCAAAC
rnacentral:rRNA from 1 species